GGCCAUCUUGGCAUAAUGGUAAUGUUUGCGACUUUGAUUUGCUAGGUCGAGGGUUCGUAGCCCACCAUGGUCU